CCUAACACACAAACAUUGACCUCAAAUCAGGUAGGACUACCCGCUGAACUUAAGCAUAUCAAUAAGCGGAGGAAAAGAAACCAACAGGGAUUGCCUCAGUAACGGCGAGUGAAGCGGCAAAAGCUCAAAUUUGAAAUCUGGCAGCCUCGCUGUCCGAGUUGUAAUUUGAAGAUUUCUCUUUGUGAGAGGCGCCUUGUCUAUGUUCCUUGGAACAGGACGUCGCAGAGGGUGAGAAUCCCGUGUGAUGAGGCCGCCGAUCCGUGUAAAGAGUCAUCGACGAGUCGAGUUGUUUGGGAAUGCAGCUCUAAGUGGGUGGUAAACUCCAUCUAAAGCUAAAUAUUGGCGAGAGACCGAUAGCGAACAAGUACAGUGAUGGAAAGAUGAAAAGAACUUUGAAAAGAGAGUGAAAAAGUACGUGAAAUUGUUGAAAGGGAAGGUUAUUAGAUCAGACUUGGCGGCGCGCCAUACCUGUCCUCUUGUAGGGCGGACACUGGCGCGUGUUUGCUGGGCCAGCAUCGAUUCGGGCGGCGGGACAUGGUCCUGUGGGAUGUGGCUGUUUAACACAGUGUUAUAACCACGGGUCUCUGCCGCCUGCCUGGAUCGAGGACUGCGUCUGUUUACAGACUAGGAUGCUGGCGUAAUGAUCUAAUAUCGCCCGUCUUGAAACACGGACCAAGGAGUCUAACGUCUAUGCGAGUGUUUGGGUGUAAAACCCGU
rnacentral:rRNA from 1 species